rnacentral:misc_RNA from 1 species
GCAAACUUGGUCAUUUAGAGGAAGUAAAAGUCGUAACAAGGUCUCCGUUGGUGAACCAGCGGAGGGAUCAUUAGAGAGUAUAAAAACUCCCAACCCAUGUGAACAUACCUAGCGUUGCCUCGCCGGUGGGCCACCCCCCGCCGGCGAAGGCCCCGUAAACUCUGUUUUAUUUUGGAACUCUGAAUCGUAAAGCAAAUAAGUUAAAACUUUCAACAACGGAUCUCUUGGUUCUGGCAUCGAUGAAGAACGCAGC